ensembl:lncRNA
CUGAAAGUAGCGCAGCACGGGGGAAGAAAUUGAUGGACCGACUGCCGCCAAACCCGAAGAGGAGACAGGCCUUACACUGCUCUCUCAUACUGCUUCAAUUACCAGUCUGCUGUACAAAGGAGGCAGCCUGAUGGCAUGACGAGUGCACAGCGCUCCUCCGCCUGUGCUGUUGUCUCGAUUCUUUUUUUUGAGGCUCAUAAAAGGAAACGGGCCUGACGAUGCCAGAGGCGGGAGGAUCUGGCUCUGCGGUCCGCACAGAGAGAAACGUCAGCAGCAGAGCGGCGUUCUUCAGAGGGAGAUGUCCUUCGGUGGGGGACCGACUGUCCCCGAGGCGGCAGCUCAGCACACAACGUCUUGUUUACCAUAUGCAGGAUCUCUCGGUGCCCUUAACGAGCCGGGGCGUUCACAGCAUCGCGGAGACAAAGGCCACGCUUUCACCGGAGAAGCUCUGGUUUGAGCUGCAUUAAAUAAUGAUAAUUAAGAAAAUAUUAAUCAAACCGUGGCUCUCUCGGCUCUGCAGCUGUGUGAAGGGAGCGGAUCCUGCAGCUUAGCCUGUAGGAGUUCUCAUUUGGAGUAUGCCUGCGACCUAUAGAGCUGCAGGCAAACACACACACACACACGGAUGCACACAAUUAAAAGGAGACCUUGGUGGCCCACUACUCUAUAAUUAAACACCCUUUGGUGCUCCGCACAAAAAAUGGGAGCCGGGUUCAGAUGUGUCAAGGAGGGAGAGCGAUGGAAAAGGAAACUUCAGACGCUGUCGCUUCCCCAAAUUGAAAGCGCCGUUGAAUGCAAUAAAUGAAUAAAAAGCACAAACUAAAA